AAGGAUCAUUAACGAAGCCAAUUUAUUGGCAUAUUCUUUCAUUCUGUGAAUUUAUCUUUGCUUUGGGGACUACAACACUUGGUCCCCAAAUUUUUAACUCUUAACAUUUUUAAUGUCUGACUGAUUAAAUAAAUUAAUCAAAACUUUCAACAACGGAUCUCUUGGUUCUCGCAUCGAUGAAGAACGCAGCAAAACGCGAUAUGUAAUGUGAAUUGCAGAAUUUUGUGAAUCAUCGAAUUUUUGAACGCACAUUGCGCCCUUUGGUAUUCCGAAGGGCAUACCUGUUUGAGCGUCAUUUCUUCUUCAUUUUUAAUGGUUUUGUGUUUUUUAUUUUACCUUUUGGGUUAUAAAUCACACUAAAUAUAACGGCAUGAUUGUUAUCUUGUGAAACGUCUUAGGUUUAACAACUACGUAGAACAGAUGACUAUGGUCAGGCCUAACAACCACCACAAAAAAUUUGACCUCAAAUCAGGCAGGAAUACCCGCUGAACUUAA
rnacentral:rRNA from 1 species